GUUCCUUCCCCUUCCCAGCCCGCAGCUCCUGGGAGAGAAGCAGAAAUCCAGUCCCCUCGACUCCCUGGUCUCGCCUGGAACUUAGCUCUCACCUGGGACUCAGCUCCCAGAGUGAAAGGGAUUGUCCUGUAGCGUGAACGAUGAGUGACACCCGCACCCUCCCUUGUAAAUCUGCUCCAACAAGCUCUCCUCCAGGACGCUGUCUUUUCUGUGCUAUCGAGCACAGCCCUGACAUUACAGCUGGCCUUGCAGACAUCACCAGACGACACCCAAGAAAAAUGGCAGCGCCAGAGCCGUGAGCAUCACAGGAGGUCUCAGGGACACGCCAAGGCCGCCUCCCAGGAAAAAGCAGAACACCGGAAAAGACCUUGUGAAGACUUCUUAUCUUCCCCUCCAAAUGGUGUCUCUUGCUUUGGCUCUUGUCGAGUUGGGGCUUGUUGGAAGACCAGGUGAAGGCCCAGCUGCUAAAGCUUCCCCUUUCUACUUCUUGUUACUCUAUUACUCAAUUAGGACUGGUGCUGAUUUAGGGGAAAAACAUUAUUUGAAAACACAGAGGUUCCCUCUGCUUUGAUCCUACACAGGCAGAGAUAUCUCCAAGCAGAGAGAUCCAAAAAAGAGCGCCCCCUGCGGGAAACGUUCUUUUAAUUUAGACUUUGCCGUUCCUCCUGUGGAGACGUUGUCACAGUUACAGUAGUGGGUGAUACAUCCCCAAAUUUCUGCCACGUGCUCAGAGAGCUAAGGCAUAUCCCACACCCACGACAAGCUUACAGGUGUGAACCUGGGUCCAGGCAGGUGCCCUGUUCCUAACUCUGGUCUUGGACGUGUGAUUUAAGCCAGGCCUCAGUUUCCUUGCUCACAGAUGUGGAUCCCAGGAGCUGCCUCAAAUACUUGGAGGCAUGAAUGGUUCUAAAUCACGCAUGCCAUGCCUGACACAUUAACCCCCCAUUCUCUUCACUGUGCAGGGUGAAACAACAGACAGCAACCCAGCCUGGGCAGCACAUGUCCUGCACCUGGGCUGUGCAGAUACUGAGAGCUUCCUGCCUGGAGUGGAAAUUCCUGCAGCAUGCAUGCAGAAAGGAGAUGGCCAGGAAGUCCCAGGAAGAUGUAGAAAGUAGAAAGGGAGGCAAGAGCGAGGAGUUCUCAUUUGGGAGAAAGGCUCACCAGUGAGGCAGGAAGUGACCUUUGGAAACAUGCGAGAACCAACGUGCAUGGGUCCUCACCAACUUACUCUCAGCAGCGAGGCCUGCCAACAAGAAGGCAUAGGCUCACCAGCUGCACACGGCUAAUGCUCACCCAGCACCACCCUGCCUGUCCGUGCAUCUGCUGUGCACGUCAGAGGUCAACUACACGUCCCAGUGGUAGCCAUAUGAGGACAGUGCUGGUCCCAGAGAACAACACUGAUAUAAGACCCAGAGACUGGAAAUCUGCCACUCCACACUCCUUCCCUCAGAGAAGGUAAGAAAUGAGAAUUUUAUACCCUCUCCAGCUCUGAACAUGCCUCCUAGCCAUGCCUCUUCUUCACAACUGUGAGAUCACCGCAAACAUAAUUCAGCACACAGAGCCUGAAUCCUUAUUUCCAGAUAACAUGAGCAGAAACAUGCAGCUCUCUCUGCGCCGAACCAAGUCCCAGUGACUAUAUCACACCACACCAAAUCACACAGACGUGGAAAACUCCACCAGGGCCAGCACUCUUCCCUAAGAACUCAACUGCCUGCAUGCAACGGUGCUAACUUUCCCUUGAACAAUCCGACAGAGCCGCGUGUUGAUGGGAACGUCCCCUGACCUUUCAAUCAAUGUUUAUGAAUUUGUAUCGCAAAGCAUCCCGGGAAACUGUGCAUGCUAACUGGCCCGAGGAUGAUCUUGCAUCUAUUAUGAAGCGAAUGGCCCAUUCCUCAAGGAGGAGUUCUCCCGGGGAUACCGUCUGUCUAGCUAGGAUUCAAUAUACAUAUUUUGUAUACCUGUAUUUUAUAUAGAUAAUUUCUAAUCAUUUUAAUUGUUCAACAUUCUUACCCCAGAGCCUCCCUUUUCAGACUUAGAAAUUGCUGCAGAAAACCUCAUUCUUCUAUGCCAGCAGGAAUUAAAGGAAACACCCUUGGCCCAAACAUGAAAGGAACUUUAAUAGGAAACACACUGUAAUGGGCACACACAGGACCCAGGGUGGGAAGGACGCGUGGCGGGAUCCCCCUACCCACACCCACACCACACGUGCCACACAGCCAUGCCGUGGCUCAUCCCAGGGUUCUGCCGAUCAGCCAAAGCGCCUCCCUGCCUCACGCCUGCAUUUACUAACUUCAGAAGACAGGACUACCAAGUGGAAAGAAGUUGAGAAUGCCAACUGAUGGGCACAGAUGGAGAAAUGAAAUUAGAAGAUUGCCAUCUGACAACCAUUGUAAUAAUACUUGACUUGGGUAAGAAUCAUCAAUGCAUGCCCAAACUAGGAGGUGAAAAUUUGAUGAGUCAAAAGAUAUGAAUAUAGUCCGAAAAAAUCGCCCCACAAUUACUUGUUCAUUUCAAAGGAAAUAGAGCAACCUACGGUGGGAAAACCUUACAGACACCACCUUAAAUAAGAUAUCAAAAUGACUAUCCCCAGCAGGACACACUGAUAUCACGUGCCUCUUGAUAUGAUGCAUGGCAAGGACACAACAUCACUUCUCUAGGAUUCUGGCCAAAAUUCUAAUUAUGAGGAAACAUCAAACAAAUCAUAGUGAUGGGCACUGUACAGAAAACCUGUUCUGUUCUGAAAAAUGUAACGGCCAUAACAGGUAAAGAAAGAGGGAAGAAAUAUUCUAGUUGAAAGGAAAUUAAGGAGACAGAGCAACUACACACACUGGAGGCCUGGGUGGAUCCCAGACCAAGGUGGCAGUGGUCCACAGUGUGCCAGGGAGCAGGUGAAACUGGAAUGUUGAUGCCAGGUUAGACGCCGAUACUGUGCCAACUGCGAAUAUCCUGAUUCUGGUCACGGUCCUGUGCCUCUGUAAGAAAAUGCUCUUUUUAUUGGUAAAUACAGAAAGAGAGAAAAUAAUAAAGUAAAUGGAGCAAAAUGU
ensembl:lncRNA novel transcript